rnacentral:rRNA from 1 species
GAGCGGUAACAGGGGGAGCUUGCUCCCUGCUGACGAGCGGCGGACGGGUGAGUAAUGCAUAGGAAUCUGCCCAGUAGUUGGGGAUAGCCCGGGGAAACCCGGAUUAAUACCGAAUACGCCCUACGGGGGAAAGCAGGGGAUCUUCGGACCUUGCGCUAUUGGAUGAGCCUAUGUCGGAUUAGCUAGUUGGUGGGGUAAAGGCCUACCAAGGCGACGAUCCGUAGCUGGUCUGAGAGGAUGAUCAGCCACAUCGGGACUGAGACACGGCCCGAACUCCUACGGGAGGCAGCAGUGGGGAAUAUUGGACAAUGGGGGCAACCCUGAUCCAGCCAUGCCGCGUGUGUGAAGAAGGCUUUCGGGUUGUAAAGCACUUUCAGUGAGGAGGAAAACCUUAUGGCUAAUAUCCAUGAGGCUUGACGUUACUCACAGAAGAAGCACCGGCUAACUCCGUGCCAGCAGCCGCGGUAAUACGGAGGGGGUUAGCGUUAAUCGGAAUUACUGGGCGUAAAGCGCGUGUAGGUGGUUCUAUUAAGCGAGAUGUGAAAUCCCGGGGCUCAACCUGGGAACGGCAUUUCGAACUGUCGGGCUAGAGUGUGUGAGAGGGUAGUGGAAUUUCCUGUGUAGAGGUGAAAUUCGUAGAUAUUCGGAGGAACACCAGUGGCGAAGGCGGCUACCUGGACCGAUACUGACGCUGAGGUGCGAAAGUGUGGGGAGCAAACAGGAUUAGAUACCCUGGUAGUCCACGCCGUAAACGAUGUCAACUAGCCGUUGGGGACCUUGAAUCCUUAGUGGCGCAGCUAACGCACUAAGUUGACCGCCUGGGGAGUACGGCCGCAAGGUUAAAACUCAAAUGAAUUGACGGGGGCCCGCACAAGCGGUGGAGCAUGUGGUUUAUUCGACGCAACGCGAAGAACCUUACCUGGCCUUGACAUCCUGCGAACUUUCUAGAGAUAGAUUGGUGCC